rnacentral:rRNA from 1 species
UGAGGAACAUGACCUUCGGCGGGGGAUAGCCGGCCCAACGGCCGGGUAAUACCGCGUACGACCACAUGGGGACAUCCCUGAGUGGUGAAAGCAGCAAUGCGCCGAUGGAGUGCCUCGCGGCCUAUCAGCUAGUUGGUGAGGUAACGGCUCACCAAGGCGACGACGGGUAGCUGGUCUGAGAGGAUGGCCAGCCACAUUGGGACUGAGACACGGCCCAGACCUNUACCGGGGAGG